AUGUUUAAACCUUACCAAAGAAAUUCACACCUAGCUCGUCAUUUCCCGUGAGAUUUCUCUCCGAUGAGAGUUCUCAUGAUUCUCUAGCGAUGUCGUCGUUGCCGAGAUUGAUGCUUUUAUUCGUCAUCCACGCCAAGGAGAUGCCCCAAACAUUCGUCUUUGAACUGCAAUAUUCGUUGCCUAGUUCUCUAAGCUUGAGUCGGAGGUUUCUGAAUUGCAACCCUCCCUCCACCAUCGUCUUUGCAAGAUCUCAGAAUUGCAAUUAGUGUGAAUCUUGGGCAAUCAAAGCCACUGCUUUCACAUUACAGGUACACUUACUCUCAUUUUAGCUGGCAGAAACAUCCACUACAAAAAAAAAUCUGUAGUGAUUUAUGUAGGUCAAGGAGCUACAGACCAAAUUGAGGAAAAAUUGUAUUGAAGUAGAGAACAAAAGCUUAGGUACUUGAAAGGAGACAGAAGAAACUAAUUUGCUAUAGCAGUUGUCUGAUGCCUGCUUGGUUGUUGUUGCAUUAGACCCUAUUGUAAGGGAAGAGUUAGUAAAUAAUUUCUUCAAUUGGGAGCUUACUUCGUAUGAUCAAUUUUUUUAAGGAUUUGCAAAGUUGGAUUAAAUUGAACGAAGAUAUGCGUGGAUCAAGUGCCGGAUGAGGUCAAAUGAAGAAAUUUGGAAAAUCUUUCCAUCUUCAUGGCAUGUUUCUUGUCGGCUUUGUAUCCUAUUCUAUAAGAAGACAAUGUAUGGUAUUUAUUUGUUUAUAGCACCAUAUAGCAAUGGACCUUCUAUGCUUUCUCCAUUAAAAUAAGCUAUGGCCAUCGUGAAACAGAUUACUUCAAGUUAGUUGUGAAAUGACAUUUUGAUUUAUUGAAUAUGAAUAUUUUUACUACUACAGCUUGGAAAGUUAUUUAGACUUCAUUUUCCCCUUCUGUCUGAUAUUGAAUUUUUAACGUCAAAAUUGAGAUAUUUUCAUUGUAUAUUUCAUAUGUGGUAUGUUUACCACCCCCUCUCUCUCUCCCACAAAAAAAAAAAACCUCUGAUGUAAUUAAGCAUUUUAUAGAAUAUUGUGCCUUUUCAUUUGUACUAAACUUAGUUCAAGAUUACUAUGUACAAAAAUAUUUGUGUUUAUGAUGCUUGUCUCCACAGCAAACAACUUGAGAACAUUCUUGCUAAUCUAAGGGAAAAGCCAGAUGUUGGGACCUUAUUGUUGGCUUUACAGCGAACUUUAGAGUUUGAGGAAGAAUUGGCCGAGAAAUUUGGGGAAGGCACUCAAAACAGAGAGAUUGGAAAUGAGAUUGAAGAAAUAGGUAGAGGGACUAAUUCUAGCAGUAAUGGAAUUUCUUCAUUUCUAAGUGAUUCUACCUUGGAAUUUCUUAGUUUUUAUUUUUAAUUCAUGAUUUUGAUCAUUUAUUUUUGUAAAGAAAAUUCUUAUUUCUAAAUCUAAACCUUUAAUUUGCAGCAAAAAAUGGAGUAUCCAUCUCCAUUGUAAACGAUGUAAAGGUACCCUAGUGAGUCAGAAGUUAUCUUCGUUCAUUGAAAAUAGUAACAGUUACAGACUGAUAUGUAUAAGAUUGAGAUGCUAUAAGGUUUAAGUAAAGUUGCAUUUUGCACUUUACAGGCCAUAUGGUUUG